rnacentral:rRNA from 1 species
GACGAACGCUGGCGGCGUGCUUAACACAUGCAAGUCGAACGGAAAGGCCCUGCUUUUGUGGGGUGCUCGAGUGGCGAACGGGUGAGUAACACGUGAGUAACCUGCCCUUGACUUUGGGAUAACUUCAGGAAACUGGGGCUAAUACCGGAUAGGAGCUCCUGCUGCAUGGUGGGGGUUGGAAAGUUUCGGCGGUUGGGGAUGGACUCGCGGCUUAUCAGCUUGUUGGUGGGGUAGUGGCUUACCAAGGCUUUGACGGGUAGCCGGCCUGAGAGGGUGACCGGCCACAUUGGGACUAAGAUACGGCCCAGACUCCUACGGGAGGCAGCAGUGGGGAAUAUUGCACAGUGGGCGGAAGCCUGAUGCAGCGACGCCGCGUGCGGGAUGACGGCCUUCGGGUUGUAAACCGCUUUCGCCUGUGACGAAGCGUGAGUGACGGUAAUGAGUAAAGAAGCACCGGCUAACUACGUG